rnacentral:lncRNA from 1 species
UUCACUCAGCAGCCCGUCUUGGAUACAUGACAUCUUCGAUGGUAUUCACCAUGAACCCCAAGAUAAUUUACCAUAACUUUACCAUGAAGAUAUAAGUUCCAUCCCACCAACUCACAUUUCCAUGAUGAUCCGGACGGCAACUACCAGCUAACAAGAUAUUUGGUACAUCCAAGUUACUGUUUAUCUGGAGCCAUUAGAAUUUUAC